rnacentral:rRNA from 1 species
GACAGAGGGUGCAAACGUUGCUCGGAAUUACUGGCGUAAAGCGCGUGUAGGUGGAUUGGUGUGUCAGAUGUGAAAUCCCUGGGCUCAACCCAGGAACUGCACCUGAAACUACCAGUCUUGAGUGGUGGAGAGGGAAGUGGAAUUCCUGGUGUAGAGGUGAAAUUCGUAGAUAUCAGGAGGAACACCAGUGGCGAAGGCGGCUUCCUGGACACCAACUGACGCUGAGACGCGAAAGCGUGGGGAGCAAACAGG